CUGGUGUCAGCCGCCGCGGUAAUACCAGCACCUCGAGUGGUCAGGACGUUUAUUGGGCCUAAAGCAUCCGUAGCCGGCUCUGCAAGUCUUCGGUUAAAUCCACCUGCUCAACAGAUGGGCUGCUGGAGAUACUACAGAGCUAGGGAGUGGGAGAGGCAGACGGUAUUCAGUGGGUAGGGGUAAAAUCCUCUGAUCCAUUGAGGACCACCAGUGGCGAAGGCGGUCUGCCAGAACACGUUCGACGGUGAGGGAUGAAAGCUGGGGGAGCAAACCGGAUUAGAUACCCGGGUAGUCCCAGCUGUAAACGAUGCAAACUCGGUGAUGCAUUGGCUUAUGGCCAAUGCAGUGCCGCAGGGAAGCCGUUAAGUUUGCCGCCUGGGAAGUACGGACGCAAGUCUGAAACUUAAAGGAAUUGGCGGGGGAGCACCACAAGGGGUGAAGCCUGCGGUUCAAUUGGAGUCAACGCCAGGAAUCUUACCCGGGGAGACAGCAGAAUGAAGGUCAAGCUGAAGACUUUACCAGACAAGCU
rnacentral:rRNA from 2 species